GAUGAACGCUGGCGGCGUGCCUAAUACAUGCAAGUCGAGCGAACAGACGAGGAGCUUGCUCCUCUGACGUUAGCGGCGGACGGGUGAGUAACACGUGGAUAACCUACCUAUAAGACUGGGAUAACUUCGGGAAACCGGAGCUAAUACCGGAUAAUAUAUUGAACCGCAUGGUUCAAUAGUGAAAGACGGUUUUGCUGUCACUUAUAGAUGGAUCCGCGCCGCAUUAGCUAGUUGGUAAGGUAACGGCUUACCAAGGCAACGAUGCGUAGCCGACCUGAGAGGGUGAUCAGCCACACUGGAACUGAGACACGGUCCAGACUCCUACGGGAGGCAGCAGUGGGGAAUCUUCCGCAAUGGGCGAAAGCCUGACGGAGCAACGCCGCGUGAGUGAUGAAGGUCUUCGGAUCGUAAAGCUCUGUUAUUAGGGAAGAACAAAUGUGUAAGUAACUAUGCACGUCUUGACGGUACCUAAUCAGAAAGCCACGGCUAACUACGUG
rnacentral:rRNA from 1 species